UACGUAGGGGGCAAGCGUUGUCCGGAUUUACUGGGCGUAAAGAGCGCGUAGGCGGAACGUUAAGUCCGAUCUGAAAGCCCCCGGCUCAACCGGGGAGGGUGGUUGGAAACUGGCGUUCUUGAGGGCGAUAGAGGAAGGUGGAAUUCCUGGUGUAGCGGUGAAAUGCGUAGAGAUCAGGAGGAACACCAGUGGCGAAGGCGGCCUUCUGGGUCGACCCUGACGCUGAGGCGCGAAAGCGUGGGGAGCAAACGGG
rnacentral:rRNA from 1 species